CCUACGGGUGGCAGCAGUAGGGAAUUUUGCGCAAUGGGCGAAAGCCUGACGCAGCAACGCCGCGUGAUCGAGACGCCCUUCGGGGUGUAAAGAUCUGUCAGUGGGGACGAAACUUGACGGUACCCACAGAGGAAGCACCGGCUAACUCCGUGCCAGCAGCCGCGGUAAUACGCGGGGUGCGAGCGUUGUCCGGGAACAUUGUGCGUAAAGAGUUCGUAGGCGGCACGUAAAGGCUAGUGUAAAAGGUAGAGGCUCAACUUCUGUACGGCACUGGAUACUUGCGAGAUAGAAUGCGGUAGAGGAGAAGCGAAGUCGUGGGGUAGCAGUGUAAUGC
rnacentral:rRNA from 1 species